rnacentral:rRNA from 1 species
UACGUAGGGUGCAAGCGUUGUCCGGAAUCACUGGGCGUAAAGGGCGCGUAGGCGGCUUUUCAAGCGUGCGGUGAAAGCUCGGGGCUUAACUCCGAGUCUGCCGUGCGAACUGGGAGGCUUGAGUCUGGUAGAGGUCGAUGGAAUUCCGGGUGUAGCGGUGGAAUGCGUAGAGAUCCGGAAGAACACCGGUGGCGAAGGCGGUCGACUGGGCCAGUACUGACGCUGAGGCGCGACAGCGUGGGGAGCAAACAGG